rnacentral:rRNA from 1 species
GACGAACGCUGGCGGCGUGCUUAACACAUGCAAGUCGAACGGAAAGGCCCUGCUUUUGUGGGGUGCUAGAGUGGCGAACGGGUGAGUAACACGUGAGUAACCUGCCCUUGACUUUGGGAUAACUUCAGGAAACUGGGGCUAAUACCGGAUAGGAGCUCCUGCUGCAUGGUGGGGGUUGGAAAGUUUCGGCGGUUGGGGAUGGACUCGCGGCUUAUCAGCUUGUUGGUGGGGUAGUGGCUUACCAAGGCUUUGACGGGUAGCCGGCCCGAGAGGGUGACCGGCCACAUUGGGACUGAGAUACGGCCCAGACUCCUACGGGAGGCAGCAGUGGGGAAUAUUGCACAAUGGGCGGAAGCCUGAUGCAGCAACGCCGCGUGCGGGAUGACGGCCUUCGGGUUGUAAACCGCUUUCGCCUGUGACGAAGCGUGAGUGACGGUAAUGGGUAAAGAAGCACCGGCUAACUACGUG